GAGCGGAGGCGGGGGGGGUGUCUGCCUUUUAACCCUCCCCAAGAGGUCGUGCCUCUGAGCCCCAAAGCUGAAGGCCCCUCUUGGGGGUGGGUGCGGGCCGGAGGGGCCCGAUCCUUUCAGAGCCGGGCCGAGGUGAAGGAAAAGAAGGAAGCAAGAAGAGCCAUUUGGAGUUAGAGGUCUCAGCUGUGAAGCCAGAACAAUAAAAAUAAAAACAGCGCGGACUCCUGGGCAGCCUGGACCAGGGAACCAACUGCCCCAAGAGUUGCUGCUCACCAGGCUGGAAGGCCUCCAUCCAACCACAGCUGCACAGGCAUCAGAGCUUUGGUUCUACAACGUGAGCUGAUACCAAUAGCCCCUGGAGGGAUUGUUAAAACACUGAUUCCAGGGCCCUAGCCAUGGAGUGUCUGAUUCAGUAGGCCUUAGGUGAGGUCUGAAAAUCUGCGUUUCUAACAAAGUCCCAGGUGAUACUGACACUACUGAUUCAGGGAUCACACUUUGAGAACCGCUGAAUAGACUGCCAUUCAAGCCAAGCCAAUCCUCUUGGCUCUACCUUCAAAAUAAACCCAGAAUCCAACCACACCUUCCCACCUGCAUCACACUCCGGUCCCAGUACCUUCAUUUCUCACCUGGAUUAGUGCGGUCACUUCCUCACUGGCUCCGUACUUCCUGGACUCCCCACCUUGUUGCUUCUUCAAUAAAAGCCUCCCAAUGGC
rnacentral:lncRNA from 1 species